rnacentral:rRNA from 1 species
CCUUUGACGUUAGCGGCGGACGGGUGAGUAACACGUGGGUAACCUACCUAUAAGACUGGGAUAACUUCGGGAAACCGGAGCUAAUACCGGAUAAUAUUUCGAACCGCAUUGUUCGAUAGUGAAAGGUGGUUUUGCCAUCACUUAUAGAUGGACCCGCGCCGUAUUAGCUAGUUGGUAAGGUAACGGCUUACCAAGGCGACGAUACGUAGCCGACCUGAGAGGGUGAUCGGCCACACUGGAACUGAGACACGGUCCAGACUCCUACGGGAGGCAGCAGAC